rnacentral:rRNA from 1 species
AGCACAGAGAGCUUGCUCUCGGGUGACGAGUGGCGGACGGGUGAGUAAUGUCUGGGAAACUGCCUGAUGGAGGGGGAUAACUACUGGAAACGGUAGCUAAUACCGCAUAACGUCGCAAGACCAAAGAGGGGGACCUUCGGGCCUCUUGCCAUCAGAUGUGCCCAGAUGGGAUUAGCUAGUAGGUGGGGUAACGGCUCACCUAGGCGACGAUCCCUAGCUGGUCUGAGAGGAUGACCAGCCACACUGGAACUGAGACACGGUCCAGACUCCUACGGGAGGCAGCAGUGGGGAAUAUUGCACAAUGGGCGCAAGCCUGAUGCAGCCAUGCCGCGUGUAUGAAGAAGGCCUUCGGGUUGUAAAGUACUUUCAGCGGGGAGGAAGGUGUUAAGGUUAAUAACCUUGUCAAUUGACGUUACCCGCAGAAGAAGCACCGGCUAACUCCGUGCCAGCAGCCGCGGUAAUACGGAGGGUGCAAGCGUUAAUCGGAAUUACUGGGCGUAAAGCGCACGCAGGCGGUCUGUCAAGUCGGAUGUGAAAUCCCCGGGCUCAACCUGGGAACUGCAUUCGAAACUGGCAGGCUGGAGUCUUGUAGAGGGGGGUAGAAUUCCAGGUGUAGCGGUGAAAUGCGUAGAGAUCUGGAGGAAUACCGGUGGCGAAGGCGGCCCCCUGGACAAAGACUGACGCUCAGGUGCGAAAGCGUGGGGAGCAAACAGGAUUAGAUACCC